UACGAAGGGGGCUAGCGUUGCUCGGAAUCACUGGGCGUAAAGGGUGCGUAGGCGGGUUUUUAAGUUAGAGGUGAAAUCCUGGAGCUCAACUCCAGAACUGCCUUUGAUACUGAAAGUCUUGAGUAUGGGAGAGGUGAGUGGAACUGCGAGUGUAGAGGUGAAAUUCGUAGAUAUUCGCAAGAACACCAGUGGCGAAGGCGGCUCACUGGCCCAUUACUGACGCUGAGGCACGAAAGCGUGGGGAGCAAACAGGG
rnacentral:rRNA from 1 species